AGUGAUUGUCGAACGGAUGAAUAACACUUGGACAACCUGCCUCAAGGCUGGGGAUAACAUUUGGAAACAGAUGCUAAUACCGAAUAAAACUUAGUGUCGCAUGACACAAAGUUAAAAGGCGCUUCGGCGUCACCUAGAGAUGGAUCCGCGGUGCAUUAGUUAGUUGGUGGGGUAAAGGCCUACCAAGACAAUGAUGCAUAGCCGAGUUGAGAGACUGAUCGGCCACAUUGGGACUGAGACACGGCCCAAACUCCUACGGGAGGCUGCAGUAGGGAAUCUUCCACAAUGGGCGAAAGCCUGAUGGAGCAACGCCGCGUGUGUGAUGAAGGCUUUCGGGUCGUAAAGCACUGUUGUAUGGGAAGAACAGCUAGAAUAGGAAAUGAUUUUAGUUUGACGGUACCAUACCAGAAAGGGACGGCUAAAUACGUGCCAGCAGCCGCGGUAAUACGUAUGUCCCGAGCGUUAUCCGGAUUUAUUGGGCGUAAAGCGAGCGCAGACGGUUUAUUAAGUCUGAUGUGAAAGCCCGGAGCUCAACUCCGGAAUGGCAUUGGAAACUGGUUAACUUGAGUGCAGUAAAAGGUAAGUGGAACUCCAUGUGUAACCGGUGAAAUGCGUAGAAUUAAUGGAAAAAACACCAGUGGCGAAAGGCGGCUUACUGGACUGCAACUGACGUUGAAGGCUCCAAAAGUGUGGGUAGCAAACAGGAAUUAAAUACCCUGGGUAGUCCACACCGUAAACAAAGAAAACCUAAGGGGUUAGGAGGUUUCCGCCUCUU
rnacentral:rRNA from 1 species